UGCGUAGGCGGAAUGAUAAGUUAGUGGUGAAAGCCCCCGGCUCAACCGGGGAACUGCCAUUAAUACUGUCAUUCUUGAGUAUAGUUGAAGUGGGCGGAAUGUAUCAUGCAGCGGUGAAAUGCUUAGAUAUGAUACAGAACACCGAUAGCGUAGGCAGCUUGCUAAACUAUAACUGACGCUCAGGCACGAAAGCGUGGGGAGCAAACAGGAUUAGAUACCCUGGUAGUCC
rnacentral:rRNA from 1 species